rnacentral:rRNA from 1 species
GGUUGAUCCUGCCGGAGGCCACUGCUAUGGGGGUCCGACUAAGCCAUGCGAGUCAUGGGGCGCCUUGCGCGCACCGGCGGACGGCUCAGUAACACGUCGGUAACCUACCCUCGGGAGGGGGAUAACCCCGGGAAACUGGGGCUAAUCCCCCGUAGGCCUGAGGUACUGGAAGGUCCUCAGGCCGAAAGGGUCUUUGACCGCCCGAGGAUGGGCCGGCGGCCGAUUAGGUAGUUGGUGGGGUAACGGCCCACCAAGCCGAAGAUCGGUACGGGCCAUGAGAGUGGGAGCCCGGAGAUGGACACUGAGACACGGGUCCAGGCCCUACGGGGCGCAGCAGGCGCGAAACCUCCGCAAUGCUCGAAAGAGCGACGGGGGGACCCCCAGUGCCGUGGCAUCGCCACGGCUUUUCCGGAGUGUAAAGAGCUCCGGGAAUAAGGGCUGGGCAAGGCCGGUGGCAGCCGCCGCGGUAAUACCGGCGGCCCGAGUGGUGGCCGCUAUUAUUGGGCCUAAAGCGUCCGUAGCCGGGCCAGUAAGUCCCUGGCGAAAUCCCACGGCUCAACCGUGGGGCUUGCUGGGGAUACUGCU